AUUGAACACUGGCGGCAGGCCUAACACAUGCAAGUCGGGCGGAGCGGAGGACGGGUGGGUAAUGUAUGGGGAUCUGCCUGGUAGUGGGGGAUAACGUCCGGAAACGGGCGCUAAUACCGCAUACUAUCAGAUGAGCCUAGGUCGGAUUAGCUAGUUGGUGGGGUAAAGGCCUACCAAGGCGACGAUCCGUAACUGGUCUGAGAGGAUGAUCAGUCACACUGGAACUGAGACACGGUCCAGACGACUACGGGAGGCAGCAUUGGGGAAUAUUGGACAAUGGGCGAAAGCCUGAUCCAGCCAUGCCGCGUGUGUGAAGAAGGUCUUCGGAUUGUAAAGCACUGUAAUUUGGGAGGCGUUACCAACAGAAUAAGCACCGGCUAACUUCGUGCCAGCAGCCGCGGUAAUAC
rnacentral:rRNA from 1 species